rnacentral:rRNA from 1 species
UACGUAGGUGGCUAGCGUUGUCCGGAUUUACUGGGCGUAAAGAGCGCGCAGGCGGUCGUUCAAGUCGAGUGUGAAAGCCCCCGGCUCAACUGGGGAGGUCACUCGAUACUGAUCGACUUGAAGGCGGGAGAGGGAAGCGGAAUUCCCGGUGUAGUGGUGAAAUGCGUAGAUAGUCGGGAGGAACACCAGUGGCGAAGGCGGCUUUCUGGCCCGUUCUUGACGCUGAGGCGCGAAAGCUAGGGUAGCAAACGGG